CACCCACUUGAUGAACUAGUUUGUCCAGCUGAGGUCCAGAUCGUGAAGCCACGUGAGUCAGGUUGUGACUCAAAGACACUUGUACCAGGCUGAUCAUCGAUUUGUCCCCGUUGCUGAUGAAGAACAAACCAGAAGAUCAAACCUCAAAUUAUGUAUUGUCUUAUGCAUUGUUUGAUGUAACACUUGCUUUUUUGCAUAAUUGUGCAUGUUUUAUAUUUACCAAUAGUUAUGCAUGCUUGAUACCAAGUUUUCACCUAUUUAGUCACAAGUUAGUUAACAAUGAGGCUUGCAUGCCUUGAUGCUAUGUUUUUAUAUUUUAGUAGUGGAAAUAUAAAUUUCCAAGUGGGGAGUAUUCUGGACCGUAUAGGUCUAUGUAGCCUUAACCAGAGAGCAGAUAUCAGUGUGUUGGAGUGUCUGGCAGUUAUUGGGUUAAAUGCUACGUAUGUUGAUGGGUCAGUGGGAGGAGUAUCAAAGGUCAUUGAGAGACUUCCUGGACACAAGCCAGAUGGGAUCCUUUGUUCACCAGCCGCAUGGUUCCUAGCCACACGGUUAGGAGAUCCUUACCAACAUGUGACGCCCAGGAAGAGAAGAGGGGAAAAUCCAAUAUCAAUUUACCUGAGGAAUAAACCAACAUUGCAAACAUGUACUUCUGGAUGCAUCUCCUCGUGACUGUUUGUUCCAGUAACACAAGAAGCUAUGGCUUCGGCAAAUGGCCAGAAAGCAAAAGUCAUCAGAAAAGAUACAAUAUGAACAGAUGAAUCUUCCUGCAGUCUGUUGUAACAAUGCUUCAGCCUCAGUGGCUUGGUGAAAUUGUGCUGAAGAAGACAAUGACCCUUAUCACUUCAUUUAUAUAUCAAACUGGAAAGUUAAGCUGUAAUCCUAUAAAUAAGGAUGGACAGUCCUGCUUUUUUGCCAAGCGCUGCAUUCCCUUGAGACAGUGGUGGGAUUCAGCCAGUUCACACCAGUUUGGCACAACGGGUAGCUACUUUUUUGUUGCCCAGGCCCAGAAUGGUCUUCUGGAAGUGGCAUCCACACAGAGAACUGGUUGUUCACAUAUUUGAAUCCCACCACUGCCUUGAGAGUAAUUUAUAGAGGACUAUAUGCUGAAAGUGACUGAAAUUUAAGGAAGCAAAAGAAGGGCCACAGAGAAAGAUGGAUGACCAUUUUUUCUUUCCUAAGCUUUUUGAUGUUUCUUUUUUUGUCUUCUGUUUUUAUCUCAUAUUUCUUUUUCUGUUUACUUCCAGAGGGCUUUUGAAAUGAGAUAAAAGCACGGAACUAAGCUUAGUACUCUGGAUUGUCAAAACCUACUAUUUAGUUAUGUAUCUUAUUAUAAGUAUGGUUUUAGUUACGCAGUUUAGGAGAAGAAAUUUAUAAUUAUUACUGCUCUGCCUUUAAAUAAUUUUGAUUUGUUAAUAUUAAUCAAAUCAACUGAAUAAAUGGAAAACAACAAAACUGAUUUUAUCCUGAACUGCUGGAAUAAAAUCACCACUGAAUUUUCUAUUUAGCACUCAUUGCUGCUUA